GAAACAGGUGCUAAUACCGUAUAACACUAUUUUCCGCAUGGAAGAAAGUUGAAAGGCGCUUUUGCGCCACUGAUGGAUGGACCCGCGGUGCAUUAGCUAGUUGGUGAGGUAACGGCUCACCAAGGCCACGAUGCAUAGCCGACCUGAGAGGGUGAUCGGCCACACUGGGACUGAGACACGGCCCAGACUCCUACGGGAGGCAGCAGUAGGGAAUCUUCGGCAAUGGACGAAAGUCUGACCGAGCAACGCCGCGUGAGUGAAGAAGGUUUUCGGAUCGUAAAACUCUGUUGUUAGAGAAGAACAAGGAUGAGAGUAAAACGUUCAUCCCUUGACGGUAUCUAACCAGAAAGCCACGGCUAACUACGUGCCAGCAGCCGCGGUAAUACGUAGGUGGCAAGCGUUGUCCGGAUUUAUUGGGCGUAAAGCGAGCGCAGGCGGUUUCUUAAGUCUGAUGUGAAAGCCCCCGGCUCAGCCGGGGAGGGUCAUUGGAAACUGGGAGACUUGAGUGCAGAAGAGGAGAGUGGAAUUCCAUGUGUAGCGGUGAAAUGCGUAGAUAUAUGGAGGAACACCAGUGGCGAAGGCGGCUCUCUGGUCUGUAACUGACGCUGAGGCUCGAAAGCGUGGGGAGCGAACAGGAUUAGAUACCCUGGUAGUCC
rnacentral:rRNA from 1 species